AUGCAGGUAAAGUUACAAUGUAGCCGUGAAGUGCUGUAUUGUCGUUCCCCCUGCACAAAGCAAAAAUGUUUCUUUACUAUCCUUGUCUGUUUCGACUCUACGGCAGACAGGGACGCUUGGUUUCAUACAU
ensembl:snoRNA SNORA63 Small nucleolar RNA SNORA63